rnacentral:rRNA from 1 species
GACGUAGGGCGCGAGCGUUGUCCGGAUUUAUUGGCGUAAAGAGCUCGUAGGCGGCUUGUCGCGUCGAAUGUGAAAACCCACGGCUCAACUGUGGCUUGCAUUCGAUACGGGCAGGCUAGAGUUCGGUAGGGAGACUGGAAUUCCUGGUGUAGCGGUGAAAUGCGCAGAUAUCAGGAGGAACACCGGUGGCGAAGGCGGGUCUCUGGGCCGUAACUGACGCUGGAGGAAGCGAAAGCAUGGGAGCGAACAGG